rnacentral:misc_RNA from 1 species
GAUGAAGAACGUAGCGAAAUGCGAUAAGUAAUGUGAAUUGCAGAAUUCAGUGAAUCAUCGAAUCUUUGAACGCACCUUGCGCCCUUUGGCCAUUCCGAAGGGCAUGCCUGUUUGAGUAUCAUGAACACCUCAACUCUUUAUGGUUUUCCAUGAUGAGCUUGGACUUUGGGGGUUUUGCUGGCCUAUGGUCGGCUCCUCUAAAAUAAAUCAGCUUACCAGUGUUUGGUGGGUAUCAUGGGUGUGAUAACUAUCUACGCUUGUGGUUUUUCCGCCAGGUAACCUUCGACAGCGGAGGUUCACUGGAGCUCAUAGAUGUCUCUCCUCAGCGAGGACAGCCCUUUGAAUGUUUGAUCUCAAAUCAGGUAGGACUACCCGCUGAACUUAAGCAUAUCAAUAAGCGGAGGA